CGCUGGCGGCGUGCCUAAUACAUGCAAGUCGAGCGGAUCUUGUCCUUCGGGACAAGGUUAGCGGCGGACGGGUGAGUAACACGUAGGCAACCUGCCCUCAAGACUGGGAUAACCAACGGAAACAGAUGCUAAUACCGGAUAUGCGGUUUCUCCUCCUGGAGAGAUCGGGAAAGACGGAGCAAUCUGUCGCUUGGGGAUGGGCCUGCGGCGCAUUAGCUAGUUGGUGAGGUAACGGCUCACCAAGGCGACGAUGCGUAGCCGACCUGAGAGGGUGAUCGGCC
rnacentral:rRNA from 1 species